UACACUCCUACGGGAGGCAGCAGUGGGGAAUAUUGGACAAUGGGCGCAAGCCUGAUCCAGCCAUGCCGCGUGAGUGAUGAAGGCCCUAGGGUUGUAAAGCUCUUUCACCGGUGAAGAUAAUGACGGUAACCGGAGAAGAAGCCCCGGCUAACUUCGUGCCAGCAGCCGCGGUAAUACGAAGGGGGCUAGCGUUGUUCGGAUUUACUGGGCGUAAAGCGCACGUAGGCGGACUAUUAAGUCAGGGGUGAAAUCCCGGGGAUCAACCACGGAACUGCCUUUGAUACUGGUAGUCUUGAGUUCGAGAGAGGUGAGUGGAAUUCCGAGUGUAGAGGUGAAAUUCGUAGAUAUUCGGAGGAACACCAGUGGCGAAGGCGGCUCACUGGCUCGAUACUGACGCUGAGGUGCGAAAGCGUGGGGAGCAAACAGGAUUAGAAACCCGUGUAGUCCCA
rnacentral:rRNA from 1 species